CAUUCUUGCCGUUCACCAGCAGCAGCGACCAGAUCAGCACCAAGGAUUUACCGUGCCGGACCCCUCAGACCUUCAAAAAUGGGGAGGAGGAUGAGGAUGACGAGUACGAUGAGCUGGAUGACGCCUUCACAAGCUGCUUCAUGGAUGACGGCGGAGCGCACAGGAUGGACUGGCAGAGCGCAUCGGGCGGCACGUGGGAUCCGCAGAGGCUGUGACCUGAGCACCCCGAAACCAUCACUCUGAUGUCACCCUAAAUCAUCCU